AAUAACCUCAUUUUUCGUUUUUCUGUGUCCAACUUUUGACCUUUCGUCUUAUUUAAAAAAUUUGUGCACAAACCUAAAAAAAUAGUCACAUAUAAAGUACUAUUCAUAUUCUAUCAUCUAGUAAUAAUAAAAAUAUUAAUCGCAAAAAAAAUUUCAAAUAAGACGAACGGUCAAACGUUGGACACGGAAGAACGAAAAAUGAGGUUACU
rfam:Oryza brachyantha chromosome 4, whole genome shotgun sequence.